rnacentral:rRNA from 1 species
AGUGAACGCUGGCGGCAGGCCUAACACAUGCAGGUCGAACGGCAACACCGUAAGAGCUUGCUCUUCCUGGUUGCGAGUGGCGGACGGGAGAGGAAUAUAUCCGACUCUACUCUUUCGUGGGGGUUCACGUAGGGAAACUUACGCUCAUACAGCAUACGACCUACGGUUGUAAGCAGUGGAUCUUCGCACCUUGCGCGAUUGAAUGAGCGGCUGUCGGAUUAGCUGGUUGGCGGGUUAACGGCCCAGCCAGGCGGCGAUCCGGAGCUGGUCUGUGAGGAGGAGCAGCGACACUGGAAGUGAGCCACGGUCCAGAGUCCUAGGGGAGGCAGCAGUGGGGAAUAUUGGACGAUGGGCGCAAUCCUGAUCCAGCGAUACCGCGUGGGUGCAGAAGGGCUGCGGGUUGUAAAACCCUUUUGUUGGGAAAGAAAAGCAGCAGGUUAAUACCCCGCUGUUCUGACGGUACCCAAAGAGUAAGCACCGGCUAACUUCGUG